AUAGAAUAAAAUUGAUCGGAAAUUCGAAACGCUUGCACAGGUUACUAACACGAAAGUACAUACCGACCGAAUAAUACUCGAUUUGUGAUAACGGAUCGUAAACGCAUUAACCGCGGUCACCCAUACAGACAACUGGGAUUUUAACAGACCGUCAGUUAACCUAACCGGUGUUAUCCGUAAUCAAAGAUCGUAAAUUAUUAUUGUGAUACCAUGGUUCAUUUUAGAGUUACGUCGGUGUCGCGGACCGUGUAAUAAUGUGUAAAGGUCGCCGUGUUUGUUGUUUUACCGUCGCGUCGGCCGUGCGAUAUGCUUAUAGUGAAAAGUAUUUAUUUUUUUUUUUGUUUUUGUUUUUUAUUUCAUUUUUUUUUUCCCAACACCUGAUUGUCACUGGCACAGCCCGAUGGGCCUAUAGACAGGCAUUGGCGAUGGUGGACAAGUGCAGGGCGGAUGACGGACGACCGCUUUGGCAUUACUAACUACGCUAUGCUACACAAAACUUAUUCUUGUCCCAAGCGCCCGGCCUCCCGGUAAUUUUGGCAUCUCCAACCGCGGAUGACACCAGACCAGACCGGCGUCUUUUAUCUCCGGCAUUAUAGUGG